rnacentral:rRNA from 1 species
UUUUCCGGGUUUUACGGGGGGUAAAAGGGUGGGUAGGGGGUUCUUUCAAGUCGGGAGGGAAAGGGUACGGUUUCAACCGGAGUAAAGUUUUGGAACCUGUAAGACUUGAGGGCAGGAGAGGGGAGUGGAAUUUCCUCGUGUAGUGGUGAAAUGCGUAGAUAUUAGGAGGAACACCAGUUGCGAAGGCGGCUCUGUGGACUGUAAAUGACACUGGGGCACGAAAGCGUGGGGAGCAAACAGGAUUAGAUACCCUGGUAGUCCACACCGUAAACGAUGAGUACUAGCUGUCGGAGGUUACCCCCUUCGGUGGCGCAGCUAACGCAUUAAGUACUCCGCCUGGGAAGUACGCUCGCAAGAGUGAAAACUCAAAGGAAUUGACGGGGGACCCGCACAAGUAGCGGAGCAUGUGGUUUAAUUCGAAGCAACGCGAAGAACCUUACCUAAGCUUGACAUCCUUUUGACCGAUGCCUAAUCGCAUCUUUCCCUUCGGGGACAGAAGUGACAGGUGGUGCAUGGUUGUCGUCAGCUCGUGUCGUGAGAUGUUGGGUUAAGUCCCGCAACGAGCGCAACCCUUGCCUUUAGUUGCCAGCAUUAAGUUGGGCACUCUAGAGGGACUGCCAGGGAUAACCUGGAGGAAGGUGGGGAUGACGUCAAAUCAUCAUGCCCCUUAUGCUUAGGGCUACACACGUGCUACAAUGGGUGGUACAGAGGGCAGCCAAGUCGUGAGGCGGAGCUAAUCCCUUAAAGCCAUUCUCAGUUCGGAUUGUAGGCUGAAACUCGCCUACAUGAAGCUGGAGUUACUAGUAAUCGCAGAUCAGAAUGCUGCGGUGAAUGCGUUCCCGGGUCUUGUACUCACCGCCCGUCA